AUUAAGGUCACCAAAAGUGGACUUACCAUUCAUCCUUUCCACCUUUUCACAAUAAAGCAUAUAAGAGACAUAAACAUUACAUAAGUCACAUCAUCACAUUAAAACCAAAAACUAAAAUAACUCUAAGUCAUACUUGUGCAAUGUGCAAGUAGCAUCCCAUACUACUACUCACACUAAGUACUCCUUUGAAGUUAUCAUAGACAAGGC
rnacentral:lncRNA from 1 species